ACAGUCCUUAUCUUCAGGCAGCAAAGUUGUGGACAAACAAUGGGUGCACUUUCAUGUGCACGCAGAAGAUAACAUCACUUAUAAAUACAGAAGGCUUCUGGGCUCUGCAACAGCUAUUGGUGCAACGGAGGUCUCAUUCCUGAUGUGCAAGCUGACGUGGAUGGAACAGGAUGCCUGAAGAGGUGGUGGAGUCACCAUCCCUGGAGGUGUUCAAAAUCCAUGGAGAUGUGACACUCAGGAACGUGGUUUAAUGAGUGAUAUUGAUGGCUUAUGCAAGCACAUUUCACAUGCUUCAGGCAGCAAAAAGCUCAGAAAAGUCUGAAGUUGUUGUCGUGAAGUGUUGUGGACCAUUCCCAAAGCCACACUCAGCAUCAUGGACUUUCAGCUCUGCACCCAUCCCACUGCAGAAAUCUCUGCUGGCUCAGAGAAGCAGUUUGCAAUCCCUGUGCUCCAACAUUGCAGAAGAUGGGGAGAAGAAUUCAACCCAGAUCUCUGACUCAACACUGCAUUCCAAGUGUGGUGAAGCCCCAAAUGGUGCUGAUGAGAGAGAGUCCUGCUUGUCCCGGCCUGAUCCUGAAUGAUCCUGAUAUGCUCUGACUCUUUCCUGUAACAAAUACUUAGGGAGAAAGGAAAUAAUUUGAAUAAAUAAUAUGAAAAAAUUGAGAUCUACAAUACAGGACACCAUAGCAUUAGUGUGGGAAAGAUUUAAUGCAAAACUGACCAUGUUCCUCACGUAUGUGAGUCCACUUGUCAUGAGGUUACUCCUUGAUAUUUUACCCAGUGGAGAACGGAGAAUGGAGAAUGGAGAAUGGAGAAUGGGAGAAUGGGAGAAUGGAGAAUGGGAAAGAGCAAAUCUUUCCCAGGGAGGAGUAAAACUCAAACCUCAGCUUCUCAGACAGAAAGAAGGAGCAAGGAGGGAUGAUGCCAUGCGGAGAGAUAUUCCCCAUCAUUUAUUGCACUCUGUUUCUUUCUUGGCCAGGGCAGCAUAGAUGGGAACAACCAAAGCACCCUGUCCCUCCUAUUCUCCCUCUGAUCUGCUGCUGAGCUGUGUUGUGCUAUCCACCACAGGGCGUCCAUAUCCUAACGCUCCCCUUGCCCUUUACCUUGUUUAGCCUUUUUUGCCAUCACGAAAUAAUGUUCACAAUGGCAAGAACACAAAAUAGCUCAUAAUGUGCCUCAAACUGUGAGAAAAGCGCAUUCGAUCCUCCCCAAACACAGACCUGCUCACUUCAAAGGCGGCAAUAUUUAGAUAGUAAUCAACAUCGCGUUUUCUUCCCUUUCCUGGCCCAAUGUGUCUAUUUGCUCAGGCACUCUUUCCAUCCAUCCAGAAAACUCAACGUGUCCAAAGCACACACGGGGCUGAGCAACGAUCCCAUGCAAUGCCUGAACAGGGCAGCCCCAGGUAUGAUCCCAAUGACCUGGCUACUACAGUGCUGCCACCCUAUGGCAUGUGGUUUGCUCCUGGGUUGUUUUAUUUAUGGCUAAAACACUGAGUGAAGAAGCAUCCUCUCCACCUUAGAGAUAGUUAAAUAGGAGCAAACAACAGUCUCAGAAUGCGAUCUAUAGCUCCCUGGAGGAAGAAGUUGUCCCUCAUGCCAUCCCCAUGCGUGGUACAUCUUCAAAUGAUGGACUGGGGAGAACCUAUUAUCUUCAGUUA